GGUUUGAUUAUGGCUCAGAUGAACGCUGCGAUGCUUUACACAUGCAAGUCGAAUGGCAGCACGGACUUCGGCUCGGUGGCGAGUGGCGAACGGGUGAGUAAUGUAUCUGGAACGUGCCUAGUAUGGGGAGGCUAACUACGCGAAAGCGUAGAUAAUACCGCAUACGCCCUUCGGGGGAAAGUGGGGACCUUCGGGCCUCGCACUAUUAGAGCGGCCGAUAUCGGAUUAGCUUAGUUGGUGGGGUGCAACGGCUCACCAAGGCGACGAUCCGUAGCUGGUUUGAGAGGACGUGACCAGCCAGACACCUGCCGGGACUGGAGCGGCCCCAGACUCCUACGGGAGGCAGUGGGGAAUUUUGGACAAUGGGGAAACCCUGAUCCACAGUCAUCCAUGCGUGCGAUGAAGGCCUUCGGUCAGAAGCACUUUGGCAGAAGAAACGGCACGGGAUAAUACCCUGCAAAAACUGAUACCACUGCAGGAAAUAAGCACCGGCUGCACCACGCCAGCAGCCGCGGUAAUACGUAGGGUAAGCGUUAAUCGACUACAUUGGGCGUAAAGUGCGCAGGCGCGUUCGGAAAGAGAGGAACCGAGCUUAACUUUGGAAUCCGCAUUUAAUCACGAGCUAGAGGUGUAUUGAGAGGGAGGUGAAUUCCGCGUGUAGCAGUGAAAUGCGUAGAUAUGCGGAGGAACACCGAUGGCGAAGGCAGCCUGGGAGGACACCGAGCUCUGGCGCACGAAAGUUACGGGGAGCAAACAGAUUAGAUAACGGUAGUCCACGUCAAACGAUGCCGUCAACUAGCUGCCAAAUUUUCUGAAAAUUAGGUAUGCGCCAACGCGUGAAGUUGACCGCCUUGAGUACGGUCGUGAUUAAAACCACAAAGAAUUACUGGGGACCCGCACAAGCGGUGGAUGCGAUGUGAUUGAAUUCGACGCAACGCGAAAACCUGACGCACCCUGCGACAUGUCUGAAUCCGAAGAGAUUUGGGUAUGCUCGUAAGAGAACCGAACACAGGUGCUGCAUGGCUGUCAGCUCUCGUGUCGAGAUGUUGGGUUAAGUCCCGCAACGAGCGCAAAACUCUGUCAUUAGUUGCUACGAAAGCGGCACUGACGAGACCGUUGGUGAUAAACCAGGAGGCGUGGAUACGACGUCAAGCCCUCAUGGCCCUGGCGGGUGAAGCUUCAUCGCCAAUGGCCGGGCUGAGGUCGCCAACCCGCGUGAGGGGAGCCACAAUCUCAGAAACCGAUCGGUCCGGAUCGCAGUCUGCACCACCAGAAGUCGAAUCGCCAGUAAUCGCGGAUCAGCAUGUCGCGGUGAAUACGUUCCCGGUCUUCGUGCUAGCACCGCCGUCACAUCAGCGGAGUGGCCUUACCAGAAGUAGUUAGCCUAACCGUGGAGGCGAUUACCACGGUAGGAUUCGACACCAAGUCGUAACAAGGUAG
rnacentral:rRNA from 1 species